rnacentral:rRNA from 1 species
UAGAAUUCCACGUGUAGCGGUGAAAUGCGUAGAGAUGUGGAGGAAUACCGGUGGCGAAGGCGGCCUUCUGGACAGAUACUGACGCUGAGAUGCGAAAGCGUGGGGAGCAAACAGGAUUAGAUACCCUGGUAGUCCACGCUGUAAACGAUGUCGAUUUGGAGUUUGUUGCCUAGAGUGAUGGGCUCCGAAGCUAACGCGAUAAAUCGACCGCCUGGGGAGUACGGCCGCAAGGUUAAAACUCAAAUGAAUUGACGGGGGCCCGCACAAGCGGUGGAGCAUGUGGUUUAAUUCGAUGCAACGCGAAGAACCUUACCUGGUCUUGACAUCCACAGAAUCUUGCAGAGAUGCGAGAGUGCCUUCGGGAACUGUGAGACAGGUGCUGCAUGGCUGUCGUCAGCUCGUGUUGUGAAAUGUUGGGUUAAGUCCCGCAACGAGCGCAACCCUUAUCCUUUGUUGCCAGCGAUUCGGUCGGGAACUCAAAGGAGACUGCCGUUGAUAAAGCGGAGGAAGGUGGGGACGACGUCAAGUCAUCAUGGCCCUUACGACCAGGGCUACACACGUGCUACAAUGGCGUAUACAAAGGGAGGCGACCUCGCGAGAGCAAGCGGACCUCAUAAAGUACGUCUAAGUCCGGAUUGGAGUCUGUAACUCGACUCCAUGAAGUCGGAAUCGCUAGUAAUCGUGAAUCAGAAUGU